UGACCUCGGAUCAGGUAGCCAUACCCGCUGAACUUAAGCAUAUCAAUAAGCGGAGGA
rnacentral:rRNA from 1 species